rnacentral:lncRNA from 1 species
AAAUAUGAUAAAAUUACUUGAUUUGAACAGUUGUGAUUUAUUUAAAUUAAUUUUUAAAGUAAUCCUUUAUCAAAGACUGUUUUUCUUUCCGGAUAUUUUCUCAGAAAAUCUUGGACAACUUACGGUACGUGAAAUCGCGGCUAGCUGCAAUUGUUUACUAGAUCUAAUAACGAUUACGUCAUCCUGGGGACCGAUUUUUCAAUCCCCUUACCAGUAAAAAUGGAACCGGAGAAGAAAUCCUAUUGUUUCCCAUGGGAACUACACUUGAUCUAGUAAAAUUGUAAUUUUAAGCUAACAACUGUAAAUGCAUCGAAACUUAAACAUGUGGUGUGA